rnacentral:rRNA from 1 species
UACGGGGGGGGCAAGCGUUGUUCGGAAUUACUGGGCGUAAAGGGCGCGUAGGCGGUUCGAUAAGUCAGCUGUGAAAACCAUGGGCUUAACUCAUGGCCUGCAGUUGAGACUGUCGGGCUGGAGUGUGGGAGAGGAGAGUGGAGUUCCUGGUGUAGCGGUGAAAUGCGUAGAUAUCAGGAAGAACACCCGUGGCGAAGGCGGCUCUCUGGGACGGUACUGACGCUGAGACGCGAAAGCGUGGGGAGCGAACAGG